GGCUACCUGGCGCAAUGGUAGCGCGUUUGGCUUCGAUCGCCGACGGCUACAUUCCUGUACGGUGGGCACCAAAAGGUUGCAGGUUCGAGUCCUGCGGUGGUCA